GAUGAACGCUGGCGGCGUGCCUAAUACAUGCAAGUCGAGCGAACGGACGAGAAGCUUGCUUCUCUGAUGUUAGCGGCGGACGGGUGAGUAACACGUGGAUAACCUACCUAUAAGACUGGGAUAACUUCGGGAAACCGGAGCUAAUACCGGAUAAUAUUUUGAACCGCAUGGUUCAAAAGUGAAAGACGGUCUUGCUGUCACUUAUAGAUGGAUCCGCGCUGCAUUAGCUAGUUGGUAAGGUAACGGCUUACCAAGGCAACGAUGCAUAGCCGACCUGAGAGGGUGAUCGGCCACACUGGAACUGAGACACGGUCCAGACUCCUACGGGAGGCAGCAGUAGGGAAUCUUCCGCAAUGGGCGAAAGCCUGACGGAGCAACGCCGCGUGAGUGAUGAAGGUCUUCGGAUCGUAAGACUCUGUUAUUAGGGAAGAACAUAUGUGUAAGUAACUGUGCACAUCUUGACGGUACCUAAUAGAAAGCCACGGCUAACUACGUG
rnacentral:rRNA from 1 species